rnacentral:misc_RNA from 1 species
GCAUGGCUCGGCGACGUACGACUGCUUGCGAGUUUAAAGCAAAAUAAUUUUGACAUAUCGUUAAAAACUAGAAAUGGUUUAAACAUUUUGGAUUUGGCAUGCAUGAAAAAAGAAACAGAAGCAUCAGAAGGAGAAUUUGAAUUCUGCUUACAUUUGUUAAACAAUGAAGCAGAAAAUAUUGAUCCAAGUAAAACCGACGCUUCUGGGUGGACUAUAGCACAUUAUGCAUCUUUGUCCAAUAUCAGAUUAUUGAAAUAUAUGGCGGCUAAUAAAAAAUUUCGUUAUCUUAUAAUGGAAAAAACCAACAGUCUUAAAACAUGUUUGCAUAUUGCAUGUGAGUUUGCAAAACAUGAAACUGUUAAAUUCAUCGCAAAAAAUUUUGAAACACUCCUUCAAGUUGAAGAUGAACUCGGAUGGAAUGCGCUUCAUUUCGCCGCCAAAGGUGGGAAUUUGGAUACUUUAAGAUAUCUAUUAUCCAAAAAGUGCAUGAAGAUUGAUUGUCGAACAAAAGAUGGUAAAACAUUAUUACAUAUUGCAUGCAUUUUCAAGCAAACAUCUAUUUGUGAGUUUGUUGUAAGCGAGUUUUCUGAGGAACUUCUGAAUGCUAAGACAGACAAGUAUCAUCUUACAGCAGCGCAUUAUUUAGGAGUGGAGAAAAAAGAAGAUGAGAGUGAAACAAAAAUCUUUGAAAUACUUGCAGGGAGUAAAAUGAAACUUUCAGCAAAAAGCUCAAAGGGGCUAUCCGUUUUAGACUUUGCAAUAGAUCAUUUGAACAGAGAAUUAGUUACGUGCAUGGUAAAAACAAAAUACAGAGAAAAACUUGGUUUAAAUCCCACAAUUCUUGCCAGAUGCAAGGAGAAUACAAAGGACGAUGAAAUCAAACGCAUUUUACAGACAGCUAUCGAUGAUGUAUAAGCAGAAAUCUAUAACUAACUUUACUAGUCACUAUAUUCAAGAAUUUUUAUUCAACAUCAGUUACGAUAUUUGCCUAUUACCUGAUCACCGAGUCUCAUAUAUGAUUAAAAAUAGUAGUUCAUGAACAUCGAAAGCUUAGCCUAUAGGAUUGCUUUUUGUCAAUGAAUGAUUACGAAUAUCUCUUUACAAUUGGUACAACAUGUAUAUACCUGCAAGUUAAGCAUGUUAUACACGUUUUUGCAUUUUGUUUCAUUCGUGAAAAUAUUUUUGACAAAAGGAUUUUAAAUCGCAAAUAAUGCUAUAAUUCUUGUUUUAGAGAACGUUUUAACAUAUGCUUAACAUGUUUUUAAUCUUUCUAUUUAUGUCACCUCUAGUCUAAAAACUCUGCAUCAUAUAUUAAUGUCAUUUGAAUAUUUAUAUUUUACAAUACCAAAUAAACCAUACUGAAUAAAAUUGUUAAAAGAGCAUUAUAUAUUUACAGAGUUAAGUAGGGACUAUAUUUUUUGGCGGAUUGCUUUCAAGAAGAAAGUGAACAAAAUUCAAUAGCUUUAGAGUACUUUUCAGAUCCUAAUUUUUAGCGCAGAACAGACUUUUAAAUAGUUUGUAUGUUACGAUAUAUUCAUGUUGUUCUGAAAAACACAUUUGUUCAAUAUUCUGAUAUUUCUAUCGAUAUGUUUUGGCAUAUUUAGCUUAUAUUUCAUAAAAACCUCGCCAAUUUUUGCCUACAAUUAGCUUCUUGUAUGCCUUAUCUCAAUUUUUUGAGCUGCGACCCCUACUUUUUUACUUGUACAUGAAACAUCAAAUGUUUGUCUAUUUGUAUACACAGAUUUGUGCUUUAUUAUUUAAUUUGGCAUUAUUAAUAGUUUUGUUAACUGAGUUAUAAAUUUAUUACUCCAAUAUUCUGUAACAAUCUUAACAUCUGCUGUUGUGUUAAUUAUAUGUUGGUAUUUCAAAUAAUGACGUGUGACAUGGGUCACAAAUAAAACAAAUGAACAUUUU